AGCAGCCGCGGCAAUUCCAGCUCCAAUAGCGUAUAUUAAAGUUGUUGCAGUUAAAAAGCUCGUAGUUGAAUUUCGGGAUUGGCGUGUCGGUCGUGCCUUAAGGGGUAUGAACUGGCGUCGUCGAUUUCUCACCUUCUGGAGAAACUCGAUGCCCUUAAUUGGGUGUCGUGCGGAACCAGGACCUUUACCUUGAAAAAAUUAGAGUGUUUAAAGCAGGCAUUUUUGCUCGAAUACAUUAGCAUGGAAUAAUAAAAUAGGACGGUUGGUUCUAUUUUGUUGGUUUCUAGGAUCACCGUAAUGAUUAAUAGGGAUAGUUGGGGGCAUUAGUAUUCAAUUGUCAAAGGUGAAAUUCUUGGAUUUAUUGAAGACUAACUACUGCGAAAGCAUUUGCCAAGGAUGUUUUCAUUAAUCAAGAACGAAAGUUAGGGGAUCGAAGACGAUCAGAUACCGUCGUAGUCUUAACCAUAAACUAUGCCGACUAGGGAUCGGAUGAUGUUAAUUUUUUAAUGACUCAUUCGGC
rnacentral:rRNA from 1 species